rnacentral:rRNA from 1 species
CAAAGGUUUGGUCCUAACCUUGAAAUCAACUGACACUUAACUUACACAUGCAAGUCUCCGCACCCCUGUGAAAACGCCCUUAAUACCCUUCUGGAACAAGGAGCCGGUAUCAGGCACAUUAAUCUGCCCAAGACACCUAGCUAUGCCACACCCACAAGGGACUUCAGCAGUGAUUAACAUUAAAUAUGAGCGACAGCUCGAUUUAGUUAAAGUGUAAAGAGCCGGCAAAUCUGGUGCCAGCCGCCGCGGUUACACCAAGAGGCUCAAAUUGAUUUUAUUCGGCGUAAAGCGUGAUUAAAGUUAACUAACAAUAGAGCUAAACUGUUACUAAGCUGUAGCACGCUUGUUUCCAGGAAAAUCAAAAACGAAAGUUACUCUAAUUUUAACAACUUGAACUCACGACAACUAGGGCACAAACUGGGAUUAGAUACCCCACUAUGCCUAGUCGUAAACUUUAAAUUACACCUUCAUCGCCCGGGAACUACGAGCAAAGCUUAAAACCCAAAGGACUUGACGGUACCCCACAUCCACCUAGAGGAGCCUGUCCUGCAAUUGAAA